ensembl:lncRNA
CAACGACAUGGUCAGCUCCUACAGACAGUGUUAGGCACAACGACAUGGUCAGCUCCUACAGACAGUGUUAGGUACACCACCUCGUACAACGACAUGGUCAGCUCCUACAGACAGUGUUAGGCACAUCGACAUGGUCAGCUCCUACAGACAGUGUUAGGUACAACGACAUGGUCAGCUCCUACAGACAGUGUUGGGUACACCACCUCGUACACCGACAUGGUCAGCUCCUACAGACAGUGUUAGGUACAACGACAUGGUCAGCUCCUACAGACAGUGUUAGGUACACCACCUCGUACACCGACAUGGUCAGCUCCUACAGACAGUGUUAGGUACACCACCUCGUACACCAACAUGGUCAGCUCCUACAGACAGUGUUGGGUACAAUGACAUGGUCAGCUCCUACAGACAGUGUUAGGUACAACGACAUGGUCAGCUCCUACAGACAGUGUUAGGUACACCACCUCGUACGCCGACAUAGUCAGCUCCUACAGACAGUGUUGCGUACAACGACAUGGUCAGCUCCUACAGACAGUGUUAGGUACAACGACAUGGUCAGCUCCUACAGACAGUGUUGGGUACAACGACAUGGUCAGCUCCUACAGACAGUGUUAGGUACAACGACAUGGUCAGCUCCUACAGACAGUGAGCCACCUGUCCAGGGCUUGCUAUAUAAAACAGGCAGACAGGCAUCGAGGCAUUCAGUUACUGUUCCAUUGAACGUUACACUGGACAAAACUAGUGACCUAAGAGACUCUGAGCGUGGUUUGAUCGUUGGUGCCAGGUACACCGGAUACAGUGUCUCAGAAACGUCCUCCCUCCUGGGCUUUUCACACACGACAGUGUCUAGGGUUUACCGAGAAUGAUAAGACAAACAAACAGCAUCCAGUCAGCCGCACUCCUGUGGGUGGAAAACGGAAGACUCGCGCAAGCUACCAGGCGGCCCACAAACAGCAUCCAGUCAGCCGCACUCCUGUGGGUGGAAAACGGAAGACUCGCACAAGCUACCAGACGGCCCACAAACAGCAUCCAGUCAGCCGCACUCCUGUGGGUGGAAAACGGAAGACUCGCACAAGCUACCAGGCGGCCCACAAACAGGCAAAUAACGGAGCAGUACAACAGUGGUGUUCAGAACGACAUCUGGGGAAAACACAACUCGCCCCUCCUUGUUACUGAUGGGCUUUUACAGCAGACGACCACAGCGGGUUCCACUCCCAUCA